UUUAUUGGAGAGUUUGAUCCUGGCUCAGGAUGAACGCUGGCGGCGUGCCUAAUACAUGCAAGUCGAGCGAAUGGAUUAAGAGCUUGCUCUUAUGAAGUUAGCGGCGGACGGGUGAGUAACACGUGGGUAACCUGCCCAUAAGACUGGGAUAACUCCGGGAAACCGGGGCUAAUACCGGAUAACAUUUUGAACCGCAUGGUUCGAAAUUGAAAGGCGGCUUCGGCUGUCACUUAUGGAUGGACCCGCGUCGCAUUAGCUAGUUGGUGAGGUAACGGCUCACCAAGGCAACGAUGCCUAGCCGACCUGAGAGGGUGAUCGGCCACACUG
rnacentral:rRNA from 1 species